UCUGGUUGAUCCCGGCAGAGGUUACUGCUAUCGAGGUUCGACUAAGCCAUGCGAGUCGAAUGUAGCAAUACAUGGCGUACUGCUCAGUAACACGUGGACAACCUACCCUUAGGCCUGGGAUAACCCCGGGAAACUGGGAAUAAUACCGGAUAUCUCGCGAAUGCUGGAAUGCGUCGCGAUAUAAAGCUCCGGCGCCUAAGGAUGGGUCUGCGGCCUAUCAGGGUAGUAGUGGGUGUAAUGUACCUACUAGCCUACGACGGGUACGGGUUGUGAGAGCAAGAGCCCGGAGAUGGAUUCUGAGACACGAAUCCAGGCCCUACGGGGUGCAGCAGGCGCGAAAACUUUACAAUGCUGGCAACAGCGAUAAGGGGACCUCGAGUGCCAGGAUACAAUCCUGGCUGUCGUAAUGCCUAAAAAGCAUUGCAUAGCAAGGGCCGGGCAAGACCGGUGCCAGCCGCCGCGGUAACACCGGCGGCUCGAGUGGUAACCGCUAUUAUUGGGUCUAAAGGGUCUGUAGCCGGCUGACUAAGUCUCUUGGGAAAUCUGGCAGCUUAACUGUCAGGCUUUCAGGAGAUACUGAUCGGCUCGAGACCGGGAGAGGUGAGAGGUACCUCAGGGGUAGGGGUGAAAUCUUGUAAUCCUUGAGGGACCACCAGUGGCGAAGGCGUCUCACCAGAACGGAUCUGACGGCAAGGGACGAAAGCUAGGGGCACGAACCGGAUUAGAUACCCGGGUAGUCCUAGCCGUAAACGAUACUCGCUAGGUGUCGGCCACGGUGCGACCGUGGUCGGUGCCGUAGGGAAGCCGUGAAGCGAGCCACCUGGGAAGUACGGCCGCAAGGCUGAAACUUAAAGGAAUUGGCGGGGGAGCACUACAACGGGUGGAGCUUGCGGUUUAAUUGGAUUCAACGCCGGAAAUCUCACCGGGACCGACAGCGAUAUGAAGGUCAGGCUGAAGACCUUGCCGGAUUAGCUGAGAGGUGGUGCAUGGCCGUCGUCAGUUCGUACUGUGAAGCAUCCUGUUAAGUCAGGCAACGAGCGAGACCCA
rnacentral:rRNA from 1 species